AGUGAACGCUGGCGGUAGGCCUAACACAUGCAAGUCGAACGGCAGCACAGUAAGAUCUUGCUCUUACGGGUGGCGAGUGGCGGACGGGUGAGGAAUACAUCGGAAUCUACUUUUUCGUGGGGGAUAACGUAGGGAAACUUACGCUAAUACCGCAUACGACCCACGGGUGAAAGCAGGGGAUCUUCGGACCUUGCGCGAUUGAAUGAGCCGAUGUCGGAUUAGCUAGUUGGCGGGGUAAAGGCCCACCAAGGCGACGAUCCGUAGCUGGUCUGAGAGGAUGAUCAGCCACACUGGAACUGAGACACGGUCCAGACUCCUACGGGAGGCAGCAGUGGGGAAUAUUGGACAAUGGGCGCAAGCCUGAUCCAGCCAUACCGCGUGGGUGAAGAAGGCCUUCGGGUUGUAAAGCCCUUUUGUUGGGAAAGAAAAGCAGCAGGUUAAUACCCCGCUGUUCUGACGGUACCCAAAGAAUAAGCACCGGCUAACUUCGUG
rnacentral:rRNA from 1 species